rnacentral:rRNA from 1 species
AAGCAACUUGUACCGUGAAACUGCGAAKGGCUCAUUAAAUCAGUUAUCGUUUAUUUGAUAGUACCUUUCUACUUGGAUAACCGUGGUAAUUCUAGAGCUAAUACAUGCUAAAAACCCCGACUUCGGAAGGGGUGUAUUUAUUAGAUAAAAAACCAAUGCCCUUUGGGGCUCCUUGGUGAUUCAUAAUAACUCAACGAAUCGCAKGGCCUUGCGCCGGCGAUGGUUCAUUCAAAUUUCUGCCCUAUCAACUUUCGAUGGUAGGAUAGUGGCCUACCAUGGUGGCAACGGGUAACGGGGAAUUAGGGUUCUAUUCCGGARAGGGAGCCUGARAAACGUAAGUUCCCCCCUCCGUCUUUUCCCUUCCACAUCUCUUACUAACACAAACCUCAGGGCUACCACAUCCAAGGAAGGCAGCAGGCGCGCAAAUUACCCAAUCCCGACACGGGGAGGUAGUGACAAUAAAUACUGAUGCGNAGCUCUUUUGGGUUUCGCAAUUGGAAUGAGUACAAUUUAAAUCCCUUAACGAGGAACAAUUGGAGGGCAAGUCUGGUGCCAGCAGCCGCGGUAAUUCCAGCUCCAAUAGCGUAUAUUAAAGUUGUUGCAGUUAAAAAGCUCGUAGUUGAACCUUGGGCCUGGCUGACCGGUCCGCCUCACCGCGUGCACUGGUUCGGCCGGGCCUUUCCUUCUGGGGAGCCGCAUGCCCUUCACUGGGUGUGCCGGGGAACCAGGACUUUUACUUUGAAAAAAUUAGAGUGUUCAAAGCAGGCCUAUGCUCGGAUACAUUAGCAUGGAAUAAUGGAAUAGGACGUGUGGUUCUAUUUUGUUGGUUUCUAGGACCGCCGUAUGWA